CCAAAGACCCACAGGAUGGAAACCCUGGCACAGGCCUGGCAAAUGAGGACAAAGCGUCCCCGCAGGACUGGAGUUUUUCUCAGGUUUGGAAGUAACUGGGAUCAGCUCCUUGCUGGGAGCCAUAGAUCCGGAAGGUCAGAGGAAGGUAAGGGAAGAGAAAUCAAUACAACAUCUCCAGGAGGGAGGUGGUUGGUAUCUCCUACUUUGAUCCAAACCACGUGUUGUCUGUGUUGGGUUAAUUCCAGCCUGGGUCAAGCAACUGAUCGCAAGAUGUUUUUGCGGGUUGUGUGCUAUCUUGUGGUUGUGUGGCCGAUUUCUGCCUCAUACGAGAACUGUCCAGAACUCCCCCCAGUGGGAUAUAGCAUAUUUGUUGCAAAGAAGGUCGAGGGACAAAUUCUGGGGACUUUCUUUUGUAUCAAGGGCUACCACCUGGUAGGAGAGAAAACCUUUAUUUGCAAUGCCUCUGGGGAGUGGAAUAAUCCCACUCCCACAUGCCAAUUGGGCCACUGUCCUGACCCUGUGCUGGUGAAUGGCGAACCCAGUUUCUCAGGUCCUGUGAAUGUGAGUGACAAAGUCACUUUUAAGUGCAAUGAGAACUAUAUCCUCCAGGGCAGCAACUGGAGUCAGUGCAUGAACGACCACACCUGGAUGCCUCCCUUACCCAUCUGCAAAAGCAGAGACUGUGGCCCUCCUGGGAAUCUGGCUCAUGGCUAUUUUGAGGGAAGAGAUUUCAACUUAGGUUCGACCAUUACUUACUACUGUGAAGACAGGUACCACUUGGUGGGCACGCGGGACCAACGGUGCGUUGAUGGGGAGUGGAGCAGUGCACCUCCAGUCUUUGUAUCUCCUGGCACAUGCUCAGUAAAUAUCUGUUCACUGUGGGAUGUUUUUGAAGAGUUGGCCUUGGCCCGAUUGUAGAAGAGGGAUCAUAAGCUAUUAAUUCGUAUUUUUACAUGAGAAGUUCUCAUUCACCACCAUCAUCACAAACACCUCAUGAGGACGUGUUGCUUGCCUUUCAGGAGACGAAAGACCUUUGCAAAGCCAUGCGGAACUUUAUGAAAAGACUCAAGGAAAAUUCCUUAACGAUGGAGGAACUAAAAUAUUUUCUGGAAAUUCAGAAAGCCAAGCUGCAGCCAAAAAAUGAGGCCCUGACAUUAUAGCUGAGCAGGCUGGGUCAUAGAAAAGCACCCUAUGAAUAAACCUUCUUCUUGGUUCUAAAA